rnacentral:lncRNA from 1 species
GGGAAAGGUCAAAUGACACUUCGUAUGAAGCAACUGGAUUUUUGAAUAACUAAGUGGUGAACCCAAAGUUGGUUAUUCACUCAUUCAUUACGCUGAUAUUUAUUAGAGCAUCUACCGUGGACAAGUCACUGCUUAUGUGAAGAUGGUAACAGCAGCAAACAAUCUAGACAAGCUCUCCUUUCACACAGAGCUUUAAUCUUAGGGAGGAUGCCCAGUGGCAGUGAGGACUCUAACCUGGGUCUUCAACCUGAAGAUCCCAGCAGCUCAUGCUGGGUCUCUCCAGCUAUUAGACGUCUCAUAUAUCAUGUCUCAUCUGUUACACUGAAAUAACCUUCCUGCAGCUAUAUGAUCAGAUGGCCUCCCUUAUUUAUGGAGUGAACAAAAGAUGCAAAUUAUAUUUGGGAAAGUCCCUGUGAAUCAAAAAUGACACCCGUUUUCCCUUAACAGCUUUUAGGAGAUGUUUCAGAAUAGCAUGGAAGAAAGACAUGUGCACAUUCCCUGUAUAGUUUGCCAUUCUUUUCUCCCAGCUAUUAGAGGCACUUCUGACAGGUACCUUUUCUGGCAACUUCUAAAACUUGUGAGGUAUGCUCUCCUAUUUGACCAGGCC